ACCCAACAAAGAAAUUCUACGACUUCAUCGACUUCGUCUUCUCUGUUUCCUUUUCAUUCCGUUACAGAGCCUCAUCUGCUCUCAAUCAAUGAUGAUCUUCAAUACAGUUUAAUUGGAUUCUAAAUCUAAGUAAAAACUACCAAUAUUAUCAAUAAAUUAUGUUCUUUAAGCUUCUGUUUAUGAAUUUGUUUCAUAUCCUCUGCUUUUCAUUCUUUAUAAACCCUUCACCUAGAUUAGUCCAAUCAAAAACGAAAACCUCCACUGAAGAAAUUGAAGCUAUGGUGAUAAAACCCAAUGGAUAGUACUCCGCCGGAAAAUCUCUCUUGCACUAUGCUGUUAAUUUUUUGGCCGUGUGGCAAUGCUGAUUUUUAGGAACGAACGAACACACAUGCCUUUCAUAUGUUCAUGUCUGCCUCUGCCCUUCUUCAGGUUCAUUCCUUUAUUCCUUUUAUUGUUUCAUUGCCCAAGCGUUAACCAUUCGAAAUAUUUGUUAUCUCGGCUAUUGAUUGUGGCACAUAUGGAGAACUUUCAAGAUUUCUAUUCGGUUUGCUCUGGCUGGGAACAAGUCCUAAAAAGAAGCAGCUACAAGAGGAAUAAAAAAAACUAUGGAUGCAUUCUCCGAAGCCUUAUUCUAUCCGAUUGAACGGCUUCAAUUAGCAAAAGAUGUUUGAGGUCUGGUCACAUUAUUACAAAGCAAAAUGGUAAGAGUCUUUAAUCUCUGUUCCAAACAUUAUGCGGUACCUGCUUUUUAAUGGUUUUGAUUGUCUUUAUGUAAUGAUCAAACAUCGUCGCACAUGGUGUUCAAGAGAUCAUACAGAUGGACCUCAAGACAAGUAACAUCUUACUUGAUAAACACAUGCGAGCAAAGGUUUCAGAUUUCUGUAUGUCUAAAUGGGCAGUUGACAGGGCCUUGCAAGUCUCUGGAAAAUUGUGUACAGUUGGAUAUCUGUAGCCCAAGGAAGAGUGAUGUAUAUAACUUUGGAGUCCUUUUUUCGUGGGUCAAUAUGCGGAGUCCUUCUUGAGCUUAUGCGUACAAAACAAAGAAAUGUUGCUAAGUGUCGGUCAGGCAAUGGCACUUCUGAGCUGUUGAGUUUGGUUAAAACGUGUUUCAGCAAUGUUCACCAAACUGUGAUUGAGAAUCGUGAAUUAAGGUUCUCGACUUUGUUAGCAGGAUUUUACAUGGAAGUGUAGGUGCAAGAGGUACGAAGCUCUUAUGUAAUUAUGAGGAGUUUCUUGAGAAUAUUUGCGGUGGGUUGGCUGAAACAACAGCUGACAAAUUAAUAGUAAUGUUUUCCAAGUGAUCGACUUAGACGCUGCGAAGAGCUUUGAAAAUGGAGGAGGUGUGCGUUUCUGAUAGCACCUGAGUCAGGAUGCCUGCAAGCUGCAACCGUUCAGUCAAGUAUAUACGCACGGACGUAUAGAUUGAUGGCGCGGAUGGGUAAACACUCGAAUCUAGGAAAUGGUUGGCUCUGGAUAAAUCCAUUGAGACGUUGCGACACAACGGCAAAGUGUUUCUCGACAGCCAGUGUCACGAUAUCGGGGGAGAAAAGGCGAAGUCUACGUGGUUAUCAGAGAUCGAGUUAGACACUGCGAAUAGUUGCAUGUGAGGGUGAGUAAGUUGGAAAGUGUCUGAGGAGAAAAUAAGGAUUUUCAGGAAUUUACACCUGGCUCUCGAGACUUCACGAUAGAGAGCUUGAAGACAAAGCCAAAGAAGUACUCAAUGUGUGAUGUACUCAAAGAUCUGCGAUUCUACUUGAUGGUACCAAUCUCACGCCUAAGGUAGAUUAUCAAUCAAAAGAGCACCAUCCUUUCAUAUCCAAACAUUGACGCUUCUUCUCUUCUAAGUUUGUUAAUUUUGUGUAAACAAAAUCCCUUAAUUAACCGGAGUGUAAGUAGCAAUGUGGAAUCUUUCUCAGGCCAAGAAGCUUUGCUUAAUUUGGAGAGUCAUGGUUUAUGUUAUAUGAUAUAUCAAGUUUUGGGUGGUGGUUUUCACUUUAA